rnacentral:rRNA from 1 species
UACGUAGGUGCGAGCGUUGUCCGGAAUUAUUGGGCGUAAAGAGCUUGUAGGCGGUUUGUCGCGUCUGCUGUGAAAAUCCGGGGCUCAACCCGGACUUGCAGUGGGUACGGGCAGACUAGAGUGUGGUAGGGAGACUGGAAUUCCUGGUGUAGCGGUGGAAUGCGCAGAUAUCAGGAGGAACACCGAUGGCGAAGGCAGGUCUCUGGGCCACUACUGACGCUGAGAAGCGAAAGCAUGGGGAGCGAACAGG